rnacentral:rRNA from 1 species
AUUGAACGCUGGCGGCAGGCCUAACACAUGCAAGUCGAGCGGAUGAAGGGAGCUUGCUCCUGGAUUCAGCGGCGGACGGGUGAGUAAUGCCUAGGAAUCUGCCUGGUAGUGGGGGAUAACGUCCGGAAACGGGCGCUAAUACCGCAUACGUCCUGAGGGAGAAAGUGGGGGAUCUUAGGACCCCACGCUAUCAGAUGAGCCUAGGUCGGAUUAGCUAGUUGGUGGGGUAAAGGCCUACCAAGGCGACGAUCCGUAACUGGUCUGAGAGGAUGAUCAGUCACACUGGAACUGAGACACGGUCCAGACUCCUACGGGAGGCAGCAGUGGGGAAUAUUGGACAAUGGGCGAAAGCCUGAUCCAGCCAUGCCGCGUGUGUGAAGAAGGUCUUCGGAUUGUAAAGCACUUUAAGUUGGGAGGAAGGGCAGUAAGUUAAUACCUUGCUGUUUUGACGUUACCAACAGAAUAAGCACCGGCUAACUUCGUG